UACGUAGGUGGCAAGCGUUGUCCGGAUUUACUGGGCGUAAAGAGCGCGCAGGCGGUCGAAUAAGUCGAAUGUGAAAGCCCCCGGCUUAACUGGGGAGGGUCAUUCGAUACUGCUCGACUCGAAGGCAGGAGAGGGUAGUGGAAUUCCCGGUGUAGUGGUGAAAUGCGUAGAUAUUGGGAAGAACACCUGAGGCGAAGGCGGGUUGCUGGGCCGACACUGACGCUGAGGCGCGAAAGCCAGGGGAGCGAACGGG
rnacentral:rRNA from 1 species